rnacentral:lncRNA from 1 species
AAGGUAGGACUACCACCUCUAGUAGACACAAGGUACGAUUUGUUGAAUCACUAAGUGAGAGGGUUAGGGCUAAACAUUCCAACCAGAGAGGUAAGCGGGGCCUUGCCUACUCUGAGCGCAGCAGUAUACUGUUGUUGUCUACGUUGGAAACAGAGAGAGGCUCACUAACCGUCUCCCUCUAACCAGGAGCGAGAUCGUUUGGAGGAGGAGAGGAGGCGAGUGGAGGAGCUGAGGAGGAGGUGGGAGGAGAAGGAGGAGGUGGUUUCGGGUCAGCCUGAGAGUCAAAAGGAACGGCUCACUCUGCAGCAGGAGAAGGAGGCGAUGGAGGCGGCGGUUCGGGCGUUCGAGGACUGGGAGUUCAGCAUCCUGGAGAGCGAGAGCAGGUUGGAGGAGGAGGAGGAGGAAGUGGAGGAAGAGGAGGCAGAUGAGGAGGAGGAGGAUGCGGGAGGAGAUCUGUCCGUCCAGCAGCAGCAGGCGAUUAGCUAUGGACAGGAGCACGUCCAUCAUCUGGAGAGGCAGUUGAAGGAGGUGGAGCGAGAGAAGGAGAGGGAACUGAACGCCCUGAGAAGAGAGAAGAGAGACCUGCUUCACGCAACCCAGAUGAUGCUUAAAGAGAAGAAGCCGCUUGCUGAUUGGUCGAAUAUCACUGGCUCCGCCCCCUGCAUGAUAUCCCUGUCGCCCAUGGCCAACAACAAACAAACCAAGGAACCUUGUCAGGAGUUCUCCAGUUUACCACGGAGGCGACAUCCCCACGGAAACCAUCUCCAUGACAAACAUCACAAUGAGAGGCCUCUCUCAGCUCAAGGGUUUAUUCGCUCUCGUCCGGACCAAAGUCCCGGCUUCACCUCCUCAUCCCUGAGACUCACCAAGGGCAAUCGGGUCUCUCAGAGGUCCUCCUUUAGCAGCCGAAGUGUUGGCGUGCUAAACGCUAACGGCAGUAGCCGUAUAGCAAGUCAGUCCCCGGGGCUGGGCGACCUGCUGGAGAUGGAGAGGAGGCUGCAGGCUGCCAGGGCUGAGAGGGAGAGGCUGCUGAGAGAGAGGGUGAGCCUGGAGCACAGAGCCCCCCAAAACACACGCUAG